ensembl:lncRNA
GGAGGGGCAGGAAAGUGAAGUUUGGGUGAAAAAAGUGAGAUUUUGGGGUUUGUGGUUCGGGGAGUUUUGGCCUUUUUGCAGCCUGACCCCAAAGCAGCAGGACUGAAAUAUUGGGGGGGGGGAUAAAUAGGAAGAAAUGGGGGAAAGCAACGCAGGGAAGCGGGGGGGGGAGGGGAAAAAUGAAAUAAAAUUGAUGGGAAAAGGCGAAAAAAUGGAAAAAGGAAAAAAAUGGGAGAAAAACGGAAGGAAAUAAGAGCGGAAAAUGAGAAAAAUGCUUCAAAGAGGCGGAAAGAGCUCCCUUAAAAACGGAAAGAGGCGGCAGGAAAUCGCGGCGUUUUGGGGUUUUCCACCCUAAAAUGGGGAAGGAAGCAGAAAAACGGGCAAACGCUGAAGGAAAAGUUUGGUUUGGGGGUGAAACCGGCAGGUUUUGGUUGAAUUUGGGCUGAAAAGCCGCGGGUUGGGAGAAAGAGGAGAAAAGAAAGCGCGGGGGGGGGGAAAAAGGGGAAAAAAAAAAGGGGGGGGGGGGGAGUUAAAUAACGGGAAUCCCCAAACCUGAGGAAAAUUGGGGUGGAAAACGGUGAUUUGGGGCAAAACGGGGAUAAAAAUUGUCCGCUGUCAUCUGUCCCCCCCACGAUGACGUCACAGCAUUGCAUGGUGACGUCACAGGGCCCCAAAUGACGUCACAGGGCCCCAAUGGCGUCACAGGGCAGCCAUGAUGGCGUGGCACAGCGCGAUGACGUCACAGCCGCAACCGAUGGCGGCCUGACGCCGAGUGAUGACGUCACAGCUCCAAGUCCUGGCUUCAGAGCGCUGGGUGACGACAUCGAGGCACCCGAUGAUGACGUCACAGCGCCAAGCGAUGACGUCACCGCACCAAAUGACAUCACCGCUCCAAGCGAUGACGUCACAGCUCCGAAUGAUGACGUCACUGCUCCGAACGAUGACACCACAGCUCCAAGUGAUGACGUCAUGGCUCCGAUGACGUCACCACUCCAAAUAAUGGCAUCAGAGCUCUGAACGAUGACAUCAGAGCUCCAAGCGAUGACGUCACAGCUCCGAUGACGUCACCACUCCAAGUGAUGACAUCACCGCUCCGAAUGAUGACAUCACAGUGCCAGGUGAUGACGUCACACCUCCAGGGGGUGAUGUCACAGCACCAAAUGAUGACAUCACAGCUCCGAAUGAUGACGUCACACCUCCAGGGGGUGACACCACGACAGCAAAUGAUGACGUCACAGCUCCAAGCAAUGACGUCACAGUGCCAAGUGAUGACGUCACCGCGCCAAAUGAUGACGUCACGGCACCCCAUCUCCAAGCGAUGGCAUCGCGGCGCCAAAUGAUGACAUCACAACACCGCGCGAUGACGUCACAGCACCGAACAAUGAAACACCGCGCGAUGACGUCACAGCACCGAACAAUGACGUCACAGCACCGAACGAUGACGUCACAGCACCGAACCAUGACGUCACAGCACUGAAUGAUGACGUCACAGCACUGAAUGAUGACGUCACAGCCCUGAACGAUGACGUCACAGCACCGAACGCUGACGUCACAGCCCCGCUGACGCCACCGACGGCGCCCCGCCCCCAAGCGAUGACGUCACAGCUCCAAGCGAUGACGUCCCAGGCACCGACCAAUGCCGUCGCGGCGCCGAUGGAUGACGUCACAGCACCUUCCUCCCCAGCCUGCGGAACACGCUGACCCCCCCGGCGCCGUCCAUCCGCGCUCCAGGACCCCCCCAACCCCGGUGCAGCCGCACCGCCCCCCCCGGGGGGG